rnacentral:lncRNA from 1 species
CCACCAUAGUCCCUCUUUAAAUCAGGCCAUCACUAGACAGAAGUCCUACCUAUCUCCGAAAUACAUGAAUGCAUGAUCACAAACAACACAACAUGCAACAUCAAUAUCAUCUCAAAAUCAUAACAAACACAAGUCACAAUCAUUCACAAAAGGUUCCACUCUCGAACCUAUAAUUCUCCAUUCAAGGCCAUAACUGUAAUCUCUCUCUGGAUUAUUAACUCGAAACGUCAUUCAAGGUCAUAAUUGUAAUCCCUCUUUGAAUUACUGACUCAAAACGCCAUUCAAGGCCAUCACUAUAAUCCCUCUUUGAGUU